GGUCGGCAGCCGCCGCCUCGUCGCCGCGGCAGACCAACUCGAAUUGUUCUUCCCCCAUGGAAGCACGGAGAUGCCCCGAAGUGAAUCUCGAUGCAGCCAGUAAGACAGACUGAGCCGACAAACAUGUGAUGUCAGUUCUUAGGGAAGAGCUGAAUGUGAAAGCCAUCUGGGAAGCUCAGUCCUGGGGUACGCAUUAUGUUACCUCCUUUUACCGUCUUCCAUCUGAAAUGACGAAAUUUAAGGCAGUGGAUGAAGGUCGCCAUCAGGACCUUGCUGAGGUCAGUUCCGACGCAGAACCGGAGACCCCCGCCGAACGCCAUGAAAUGCUUUGUUCCACCGGUGAUUUCCAUCUUAUCCUGCAGCCCAAGUAAAACCCGGAAGUGUUAUUUCUUCAGACAGAUAGGUGAGUCAAGACUCUAGACCCAAAAGUAAACACAACACAUGACUUUCAUAUGCACUCUCGCUCACGAAGGCCAUGCGUGCAUGGACGCUUCUGUAAGCAGAUAUAUAUAUUAAUCUAGCUUCCAUUUGCUUCUACCGCUAUGAGACACUAGCAUGGCCGCAUCCUUUUCUUUAUUCCUACCUGUUCCUUAUCAACAGAACAGUGAGGAUUAAGUAUCAUUUGACA